rnacentral:lncRNA from 1 species
AUUUAUUAUGGAGAAAUUUGAAAAUAGAAACUCUGUCAAAAAAGAAACCAAAAAUGGAAACAACUGUGUCAAUAAUUAAUAGAGAUUUUUUUUUUGUUUGUUUAAGACAUGUAUUCACUUUUGACUUUUUUUUAUUUAUUUAUGACAGAUAUAAAUCUAAUUUGGGAUCAAACUAAUUAACCAAAUGUGGCUGAGGUCAAGGUGGUGUCACCAUCAACGACACUGCGGCUACCUGAUUACAGUUCUGUCCAUGCCAUCCCAUCACAUUCUUCAUGUGUCCACCGAUUUCUACCUUCUCAUUGUAGACGCCGGAUUUCACAUAGAUUAUGGCUCUUGGAGGUCGUCUGUCGCCCAUUCUAGCAAGUGCAGCCACGGCAUGGUUAAUUGUUGUGUGAGUGCGUGAACCAUCUUUUGCCACCACAAAGUCAGCUCUGGAUCUUGCCGGACUCCACGAUGCUAAAAGCCCUCCAUAUGGCCUUGCAUUGGAGUUUUGUCCAUGCCGCACUUCUACAUUAUAUUAAACCAUAAAUUGCAAAAACUACUAAUGCAAAAAUUAAAGUCAUGAUAAUGUAACACAAAAUAUUUGUAAUGUAAAAUUCAAAUUAAUAUCACCUAUUGGCUAAAAUUUACGAUCAACGUACUACUUACUCAUUGCCUCAUCAGUAGUCAUAGUACUCUUCCCAUACAGAGCAAGAGCUUCACCAAGCACCACGGUCAAGUUUUGUGCCACCGCACUAUACAGUUGAGCACCACUAGUAUUCUUAACAACACCGUUCUCUUCCAAGCUAUCCCAACAACUCCUAUGGUUAGCAAGCACACCGCUGAGCCAUGUCCGAGCAUCUUCUCCGGUAUAAUUACCCUCGCCGGAUAUCAACUCAGUCAUCAGCCUCGGCACACUCUCAUCAUAUAGUCUUUCACAGUCCAUCAGAGCCACGUCACGGCCAGAAGAAUCCGAUUCAGAGCUUGCCAACACAUGUACCCGGUCCAUCGAGGUACAGACCACAUUGGUGGCUUGAAGAACGCUAUCUAGGGCCAGUUGAACCGGUUUCGGAUCUUGGAAGCAGGAUGUGGAAGAAGCCAUGGUGAUGGAUAGCAGGAGGAGGAGGAAGGUGGUAACAGAGGUGGACAUUUUUGGUGAGUUAAUGCUAGCUAGCUAGGGAAAAGUGGUGAAAUGCAUGAGCCUGCAGGAGAGCUUGAAUGAGUUGCAGGAUCGAGGUGGUGUGGAUUUAUAGAGACAGUCGGGGAGGGGUGGGGGGAAGAAGAAAACACGUGUAUGUAGCUACUGGUGUUGUAUAAGCUAGCUAGCCAAGUGAGAUUAAUUGGUGCUGAUUUCCUUUGUAAAUGAUGAGCCACUUCCAAAUUCAGUUAUGCAUAUAUUGUAUAUAUUGUUUCCUGAUUUUCUUUCUAGCUUUUUGUAUCUGUUCGCAGAGAUAGAGUAAAUAUGCUCUUGUUAUGAAGUAUAUAUGACUCGUGUUAGAGAUAGAAGUAAGGGACCUGAAACAAACGUGUGUCAGGAAAACCAUUCCAGCGGGUAGUGAUGAUAUUGAUUUGGCAAGUAAGAGUAGUACUACGUGCCAGUGUUCUAAACAUGCACAUACGUAUACUUUUCUAUUAAUGCAUGUUUUGUAAUUUACUGCCGAUCGAUCGAGUUUAGUUAGAGUCUCAUACGUUUAUAUAGUGUUGCCUUCUGCUGACUCCAUGGAUCGAUAUAAUACAAACAAGUUUUAAUCAUAGUGAUGAACUAAUCGGUGAUGAUCGAGAUCAGUACGUAACGCUCAUUACUCAUUAAGUUGGUCACCAUGCCUGCACACUAAGUUGGUCACCAAAAUAAACUCGCAAAAUGCAAACAUUAUUCGUUCAAAGAAUAAAUAGUAGACGUACUAAAUUAGUAAAUUUCAUCUUAGACAAAGAAACUAGCAGACCAAGUUAAAGUCCAAUCAUCUUACAGUCCAUGUCUUUGAUCUGCUCCGAUAAUUCACGUAAGAAUAUCAAUAAUCAAUCGUUUGCUGCUGAUGUGCGAGGCAGUAGCCAUUUCUCCCGAGAGUCACUUUCUUAUUUUAGCACAUGAACUAACUAACUGUAUGCUUAUAAAUGAUCAAUAUGUUCUAAUUACUUUGAUGAUUCCCGAAACCCCCCUUGCAUUCUACCAUUUUGGUGUCAAUCCAUAAUCCCUACCUGGUUACUUACAACUACAAAUACUACUAGGAUUCACUAUUUGUAAAUAUAUUCUCUGUAUAUAUGGUGAUCAAAACUAACACUUUUAUGAAACUAACACUUUUAUAAAGUGGAAUCAACAAUAUAAAAUCCACAUGAUAAACAAACAAGUAUUCGAAGUUCAAUUCUUCGAGUUUAAAUAUACAACAGAUGCACAAACAGCAGGAAAAGUGAACAUGAUUUAUCAUGCAGCUUGAUAAAUGGGAUAUAAAGCGUGCACCACCUCUACAUGCGCGCAACAAAUGUUUAUAGAAAAAUAGAGGAAAAAAACAGGUGGAAAAUUAUAUAUUAAAAUAUAAAACAAUGCAUGAAACAGCAUGAAACUCGUAUAUGUGUAACAUAAUCACCUGUCACGCAAAGAAUAAAUCGAACGGCUUUCAUAUCCUUGAGUUCUAGAAUGACAUAUCACGUACAAUUACUACAUGAAGACUAUUAUCAAAAGAAAAAGGAUGGAAGGAUCAAGACUUAUUUGAUCAUUUUAUGUUUAAAGUCUACACACACAAAAAACUAAUUAGGUUUUUGAUCUAUCUACAUAUUUGAAUGAAGAUAAACUUGAUGACUAGAAUACAAGCAACUCGAUCUAAGUCUAUGACACUGUUUGUAUGAAACAUUUCUGAUUUUGAUAGUUUUAGAAGUCAAAGUCAACAAAUUUGAUUUUUUGCUGGUGAUCUACUACCUAGCUUGUUUUGGGUUCUCAACCAAGCGAUAAUUGCCACAGUCGUGUUUGAAUGAUCAUCAUCUGCAGUCUCUGCUCGAAAGCUUUGAUUUCUUUUAGUUAGAGCUCCAAUUAAGUCAAACCUUAAAAUAACAACCAGAUUUAUUAUAUAUGACAGCAAUAUAUGAUGGUCGCAUAUCUGGUGUAAUAAUUUGAAAAUGAUGAUGUCUCUUUUCUUUUCCUUGGUACCAAAUUAGUCGAACGCAGAAAGUUAGAUCAGACUUCUCCGGUUCAAAACUUCACUUUUGGAUUUCCGGAAAUGAAAGCAAAACUAGCUAAGGGUUUACGUAAUCUUCUUCAAUUCUUCCAACCCAAAAGAUACAUAUAUUAAACAAAUUAACGACAACAAUCCUAGGCUAGUGAUCAAAUACAAUCAAUUUGAAAAAUGGUUAACAGAGUUCUUUUUAGGUGGAAGUAGGGGAUCUAAGUUUAGCAUUCGAGGACUCGCUAAAAUAAUUGAAGAACAGAUUCAGAUGGAAUAUGUUCAUAUCAUUGCGACAACAGCUACCAGCAAAUAGUUAUGAUGAUGAUGACCAAGACUGACCGGAUAGACACGAAUAUAUAUAGAAUUGUAGCUAGCUUGCGAUAGAAUCAUAUAUAAAUCCUUUAGAAAUGAAAUUAUUGAACGUCGUCUUCAAAUUCGAUCAUUAUAUAUUUGUACGUCGAUGGUGUUUAAUUGGUUAAGCCUUGAUUUUCAACAUGAACAGUAUAGUUGUUCCUAGCUAUUGCCAACUAAGGUCAUGACUAAAACAUUAUGGUAUUCCCAUCGGCUUAGUCCUGGACUACUACUCAUGGUACAUAUCCAAUCAUUUUUGAUAAAUAAUUACCAUUUUCUUUUACAAAAUAUUUAAUUGCCAUUUGAGAAAUCAAGUUUAUCCAUCAAGUCCUUCUUUCUCUUUCUUAAUUUUCUCCAAUCAACAGAAUAACUUGACCAAGAGAACCCUUUUAGUGAAGACUCUUAAGUUCAGGACUAGUUGAUGACUUUUCGAUUUAUGGUUUAAAAGACAUAUUUUUCGAUCACAUAUUGGCAUCUCAUCCGUUCAAUUUUUAGGUCUAUAUGCGUAGAUCAACCCUACAAUUUUUCAGCCAAAUCAAUGAUCGUUAAGGUAACAAACUAGAUCAAAUUAAUGGACAAACCAAAUCUGUUAAACAUGAACCGUUCAAGUUCAUAAUUGAUAAAUCACACUUAUAAGUCUUAACGAUUUUCAAUAUGGCUGAAAAUUUGCAGAAAUAAUCUACUCAUAAAUACCUAUAAACUGAACGGUCUAGAUGUGGAUAUAAGAUCGAAAAGUGAGAUAAACCGAAAAGCCUUUAACUAGUCCUGAACUUAAGAGUCCUCGUUAAAAAGGCAACUACUUGGACUAUUUCCACCCAUUCCCACAACAGGAACCACACUCAACUUAUCAUCGGUUGCAUUAUCCGACAACAGCAAGUUAAUGAUGAACUUCUUGUCCUCCUCCCUUCCAUACACAUCAAAAUCAUUUACCAGAGAAGAAACUUCAAGUGAUCUUGCUGGUUGUGGUUUAUCCUUAAAACUCUCUUUCAAACCAAUCUCAUCUUGUUCCUUCAUAAUAAGUUCUAAUCUCUCGAGGGUCUCCAAUAACUUGUGCUCCAUAGAUUUGUCAAAUUCAAAUGUUGAAUUAGUAGAGCUGAGAUCGUGUACCUGACUACCUAGAGCUUCGGUAGUGAUCUCAUCGAGCAAGUCCCCUGCAACAUACAAAGCAUGUUUAAGCUCGUCAAGCCACUCCCUCCCAUUCGGGUUUCUGAAUCGCUUCUCCUCUGCAUCAUCGAGCACUGAAUUCACAGAAAGCAGCUUCAUCUUUAACUUCCUGAGCAAUCCAUAGUUGACUUUCUGUUUGGAGAUGAAGUCAACUACUUGACGAGAGGCAAGUCUGGCAAACAAAACAGACAGAAAUGAAGAGAGAAAAGCUCCACCCACCAACUCCAGAGCCUUGGUUUAUCGGUCAUGCAGGAAACAGGAAGAUCACAGGGGAAGAAGAAAGGAAGUGAUCAGAAGAAAAAUGAAACAAACAAGAAUUUGAGCUGUUAACUUGUGAUUGUUAUUCUUGGAAAAUGAGGUUCAAGCUAGAUUAGAUAGUCUAUUCUUCUUUAUUCAUAAGCACAUGUCCAUGUUUACAAUAUUCCUAUAUCUUAAUACUAAUCAUCGAGUUGUGUAAAUAGCACAUAAAGAAUAGUAAUUUAUUAAGAUGCUAAUGUAUUCUUACAGGAUUCUGGAAAAAAUAAAAAAUAAAAAAAAAUAAAAAUCAACUAUCUAAUAGAUAUUGAAUUAGAAUCAUAAAAAGCAAUUGUCUUUAACUAUUUGGCUUCUCAACCAACAUCAAAUAGCCCAACAACGAAUACAACAGGUAACUCUAGUGAGAUUUAAAUUUAAAUCUCAGCGCUGUUGAUCAAGCAUGUCAUGAACCAAACACACAGUUGUCCUGUUUGACAUUUCAGCCAUGCUUUUCUAAAAUAGCCAAAAUGAAAAAACAUUCUUUAGCCAAAAUUUAAUAUUGGAAGUUACAAAAACAAAAACACAACAUUUGUUUACUCCUGUAUUGCCUGUCAUAAGAGAACCCCUCUGUUGCAGCUUCAACGAAAUAGGCAGUGAUCAUACUUCUAACCAAGGGUACACUUUUGGUGAUGAAGGCAACCGUGCUGUAAGAACUUCAACUCCAGUCUCUGUCACCUAUAAAUUAAGGGGAAAAAGGAAGAUAAAGGAAUUACAUAUAAACCACUGUAGCCUGAUUCCCCAGACAAAUAAGCAGGAUUCAUUAGCAGAUGAGCUAUCAUGAUGACAUCUAACCUAACUAAAUCUCAAUGGUAUUCUAAUUCAACGUAGAUAAAUAAAACAGCAUACUUGAUUUAAGACAAUACGAAUAGACCAGCUUAAGCUACUUUCUCGUCAUCUCAGACACACUUGAAGUUCUAACGCUAGCAUGCCACUAUACCCAUAUUACUAGAAGAAACAGUUACGAAGAAUAAUAAAAUAACAAUCCAAAUACAGAUCAAACUAAGGAAUAUACACAAAUGCACAGAAAACCAACAAGAAUGUCCUUCUGACAGUCAGAGAAAUGGCAGCUAGAGAAGUUGCAAACAAGUUACCAACAUAACAUAAUAAAAGGAAGUACACAGUUACCAGAAGUGUGUGCUCGAAUUGAGCACUUCGUUUCCCAUCUGCGGUAACAGCAGUCCAUCCAUCAGGCCACAUUCGAUCACGCAAACCCCUAAUUGAUAAUUAGUUCAAAUUUAAUAAGGUGUACCCAGCAACCAAAAAGCUAUUCAAUAUCACAUAAACAACUUUCCAAAAGUACCUGCAUUGAUCAUCGGUUCAAUCGUGAAAGUUUGCCCAGCUUUCAUCACUCCAACUGCUUUAUUUCCUGCUUGGAUUAAAGAUAAGCAAUGCAUUAAAAGAAGAAGAAGAAGAAAAACAAUCCUUAGAUACAGAAGCUGCUUAAUGGAACAUACUUGCAUAGUGAGGAAUAUUUGGUGCACAAUGAAAGAGCUCCCCUAUACCAUGACCACAAUAUGAUUUCACCUGUUGGUCCAAUACAAGAUUUGCUCAAAUUCUAUCUGAUGGACUUAAAAAUGAAAGUAUUGUGCAAAUCUAAAUACAAGCUGCAAAUUACCACAGAGAAUCCUGCCAUAGUAGCAUGGCGAUUAAUGACUUCUCCAACUUCACGAAAUCUAACUCCAGGUUUUACUGCACUUGAAAAAAGAUUCACGAAUAAGGUGGUAUGCUUUCAAACCCACAAAAUACUUGAUAGUACACUGUUGCACACUCCCAAUUACAAAUAAAUAGGUUGAGUUCUCCGACACAAUCAGUUAUCACUAGAAUCUACAGUUUGCCUAUACAAACUUAAGCAAAAACAACCACAAAGAUAAUUCAAGAAUUAUUGCAUUGCAAUUUCCACGGCACCAAAUAAGUAUACAUGCAAUAUCAGAAAAUAAUAAAUAUCAAAAGCAUAAAUGAAUAGGAGACACAUGAGGAAAGGAGUAAUAAACUUGAGCUGUGUUUUCUUGGAUCUGUUACAUAUCCGGCAUGACAGAUAACAGAACCCCCAAUAUCAAAAUCCAUCAUGGAACAAUUGUAAAUUUUACUUGAGGAUCCCAACCCAACUGAUAGAUCAAUGUACCAAAUAGUUGCACUGUAAUGCAUACCAAUGGCUAUUGCUUUUUCCAAGCACUCGUAAGUACACUGUACUAGCCGUCGAGACUCUUCAUCAACAUUUCCCACAAAGUACGUAUCAUUGAGAUCACCUGUAUUAUGAGGUAACAAUUGGUCAAGCAAAAACAUUAAGAUAAUUUUGAACCACAUGUUAAAUGUGGAGAGCAAGAAUUACCAUGGACGCCUUUGUAAUACACAGUUACGUCAACAUUGACGAUAUCACCAUCUUCUAAUUUCCUGGAACAGAUGUUUCAGUCAAAUGAAAUAGAACAAAAAGGAUAAACAAUAUAGACAAAUGCCUCUAAAUUCUUGUCUUGUAGUCUUCUAGAAGCAAUUUUCAGGAUAAAGGGGAUCACUAGUUCAAACUUCAAAGACCGAACGAAAAAGAGCACAUAACAAAAAAUUAUACCUGGCAUCAGGAAUCCCAUGGCAAAUUACUUCAUUGACUGACCUGUAGAUGGAAGCACAAUUAUUUGAACAAUAUUGUACAAUCUCAAAAAUAAAUAAGAAAAUGUACAUGAAAAGAUACCUACGUGCAGCAAGACUUUGGGAAAAAAUGAUAAUUGAGGGGAGAUGGAUAUCCGCCUGCAGUAAGUUAAAGUCAGACAACCAGACGAACAAGAUUCGGCCACAUAAAAGCUGAUCACUAAAAAGCAUAGAAGUUAAAUAUAUAUUAUAUAUAUAGUCAUAUAGCUAUAUAUGUUAUAAUUAAUAGCAAAGCAUAAAACUAACAUGAUCAAAAUUAGACAUUAAAUUAUCUAUACUGUUAUUAAGAGACAAGUUUGUCAACCAAAACAGAAUUUCUUUUCUUUUUUUUUUUACCAAAUAUCCCUCAAAUAUUAAAAAAAACAUCUGAACCAAAUUAUUUGGAAAUCGAAGAACAAAAUGGCCAAUUCACAAAUAUAAGAAAAACAUCAGAAAUUUUAAAAAAAAAUUUUAAAAAUUCAGCAAUUUUCUCUACAUUUUAUGGAAUAAGUUCCAAGUAAUUCCCAUGUUAUCCACAUCCCUCUAGUAUGAAUAUAAACUAUGGAACUGAACUAGUAAAUAAACUGUGAAAUCAAUAAUACUAAAGAGCAUAUAAGACUUGAAGAAGACAACUAGUUUUGGCACUGUAAGUAAUAUGGUGAAAGCCUAUUAUAUACCUGCAGCUAUAGUAGCAUCAUGGACCACCCUAUCAAUUUCAUCAGUCGUGAUACCAGGCCGUAUGACACGAGCAGCUGCAUCCAAAACCUCUCUUGCAAUCUGACAACAAGAAGAACGCCACAGUAUAAGUAAAAAUUAAGCAGACAAUAUAGUGAAGAGUUCACAUUGAUGCUUAAUGAUCACGGAAGAAAAUAAGAAAUAAUCACUUGGAACUUACUCGACAAGUUUCUCGCAUCCUCUCAAUUUGAUCUGGAGUCUUGAUCUGCAAAACGAAUACAUCAUUACGUACUUGGAAAUAAAGAAAAGAAAAAAAAAAACAAAGAGAGCAGAAAAAUACUAACCUGAUAGCACAUCAACCUAUACCUAAGAUAUGAUAUAUGUGUGUAUAUAUAUAUAUAUGAGGUUAUCAAGUACAUUUUUACCUCAACAAUUCGCUGGAGGUCACUACUAGGCUCCUCUUUUGGGAUUCCCUGCAAGUUUUGGAAGGUCAAAAUCAUGAUGGCGUAUUUGCAUCUAGAAGUAGCAACAUAAUGUAGCAUCUAACUACCAAUCAGAUCAGCAAUGCAUCUAGGGAAAUUGACCAUGAGGAAUACAUAGAAAUGAUUCUGAAACUUACAUCAGCUGCCCAAUCAGGUAGAUCAAUAUGAGAAGGUACCACACGCUUACUAGAUAUAGGAUAUGGCCUCAAUGUCCUGCACAAGAGAGAUAACUUCAGAAACUCCAUAUGAUGAUCAAUUCGUGUGAUUUAUAGCAUUUUACAUGAUGCCACAAGCAUAGCCAUGAAACGUAAAUUUCCAAACCACGAGUCAAAGAAUGCCAAGAGUCAAGCCCAUCAAUCAUACUUAACACUAACAAAAGGGCAGGCAAAAUCACAGAAACAUACCCAGUCCAUUCAAAAUAAGGAAGUUUCGGAGAUCGACUCUGUCCUUUCUUCAUACAAUAUAGCCAGCCUUCAUUCUCCGUAUUCCCCGUCCCAUCAGACUGCUUCGCCUUUACAUGUACUGAUUUAUGCGAGCUCCACGAUGCCUUAAAACAAUCCUGUGUGCUGAUAACAGAGGUUCCAAAUCUUCAUAAUCAGACAAACUCAAAGAUCAUUUUCAAACUUACAGCAACAUACGCUAUCGAUUCUUGUCUAAGAUUCUUGUCUUAAUCAAACUACUAAUGAACUCUAAAUCCUGAUCAACCUAAACUCGAAAAGCGCAACUCGCUAUAAUUUCUAAUAAUCCAUUAUUAACACAAAGAAUGAAAUCAUCACGCACCAGAAAGCAGCAGCUUCACGAGGAAGCUUCAACUCCACACACUUGGGGCACCUGUAAUAUCAAAAUCAAAGCUGAAUUCAACAAGUUCCAAUCUUUUAAAGCCAUAAACAUUCAAGAAUUCUCAGAGUCAAGUAAUUAUUGCUUCGUUAAUCAAAAGAAUCAUAAAGAUUACAUCUUCGUGUUGCGAAAUUGAAAGAAAAAUUUGAGAGUGAGAAAUUAACGUACUGAAGAUUGGCGGGUUUGCUGCAGCGAGCACAGGAGAGGGUAGCGACGUCGGCCAUGAUCGCAUUCAGUGGGCUCCGGCGAGCUGCGAGAGGUCAAUUUGGUCUGAUUUCAGUGACAGAGAAGAGGAGGAGGGGCUAGGGUUUUGGGUUGAGAGGGAAAUCAGUUGGAGAUUUCUCUAUUUAUACAAAUUAUCAAUUUUCUACAUUUAUUAUAGAGAAAUUUGAAAAUAGAAACUCUGUCAAAAAAGAAACCAAAAAUGGAAACAACUGUGUCAAUAAUUAAUAGAGAAUUUUUUGUUUUUUUGUUUAAGACAUGCAUUCACUUUUGACUUUUUUUUAUUGAAGCAAUAUUUCAAUAGAGAAAAUGAUCCAGGUGUAUACAACAAAUCUGACCCUUAUUAAAAUAAGCAAAUUACAACAAACCGAGAUUAAAAUCACAAUAGAGAAACUCAUCAAAGUCUUUACCUAACUAGUUAACAUAAACCAAAUCUAACAACCACUAUGAGUCAAAUUCCUUACAAUACAUAGCUUCUGGCAAAAUUAAUGUCGAUCUAGCAAGUGUAUGAACCACAAUAUUUAAUCUUUUCUUUACAUGCUUUCACAGAAGAACACAAAUUCUCUCUUCAUAUCCUUUUCUUUACAUUUACUUUUGACUUUAUCCAAAAUAAAAUCAAGUGAAUAUAUUAUACUAACAAAUGUAAGGGUUAUUCAAUUGAGUGUGUUAUAGUAAUUUUACAAAUUCACACGAUAUCUUUAGUUUUAGUAUGAUCAACGACAACGAGUCAACGUUGAAACGUUGUGGUAUUCAAUUUGGUUCCUUGAUAUUGACUGAAUUUAUUUACAUAUGGUCAAUAUAUAAUCUGUGCAAGUUAAAUUUGUAUGAGUUGAUUCUUCUGAUAGUAGUGAGUGGUAAUAGUUUUGUAGUGUUGUGUCUCCUUCUUAAUGCAUUUAAUCUCUUGAUAAAGAAAAUUGUGAGAGUUACAAAUAAUAUUUCUCUUAAAAAUUAAACAAUUGCUAAUCUUUGCUCUUCUCAUAUAAAAGAAAAAACGGCUAAUAUAUGCAAAGAGGUUAUAGUACAUAUAUACUACCAUAAUAUGGUAUUACAAAGUUUUUUUUUUCUUUUUGUAUGACAAAGUUUAUUUACCAAUGAUUAUAUUCCAAGCCAAACCGGCACACCGGUCCCUAGAAUCCAUGACUCUCCUUGAAUGAAAUGGCUAAUUGAGUAAGGGCUGACCUCCCGAGGACUAUUAAGCACAUGAAAACUAGGCCAUCUAACCCUCUUAUCAGUUGAGGCACCCUGCCCUACAUUCAUAUACUCCCCAUAAUACAGUGUUGAAAUUGCAAAACUACCUCUCCAUUCCGUCCACCCCUUUGGAUCAACCAAACCAUCCAAAUCAGUCUUUAAGAACACUGUCCUCGAGUAUUUAUGCCAUGGCCGAUCAAGGUAAGUCUUAAACGAACCCUUAACCCCCUCAAACUCCCUCGCAGGCCUAACGCGACAACCGUGAAUAACAUUGCCCGUGUUCUCUGCCGGGUUGUCACGUCCUUGAGCAGUGAUCAUGUUGGAUUGGUGCCCCAAUGGCCUCCUCACUAAAAUGUCGCAAUUUUGUAGCACGACAGAGGCGUCACCAAAUAUGAAAUCGAUGGUGCCGUAUAUGUGACUGUCACGGUAGAAUUGCCUUAGGGAGUGGGCGUAGAGACUGUCUUGGUAUCCCUUGAUGCUACAUCGGUAAAACACUGCCAGGUCGGAGCUAACCCUCAAUGCCACUGCUUGGUGCUUUUGUGGACCGGCUGUAUUCUCAAACGUUAUGUCCCUCGCCCAAAAACCAUCCCCUGAGACACCUGCAAAAAAUGACAACAUUACAAGUGAUUGUUUCAGCGUCAUUGUACUAUAUAUUGAUGCACAUUCUAGCUUAUAUUAUUGUUCUAAUUCUUAAAAAUUCGCUAGUGCAUGCAGAUAAAAGAGAGUUGUACUAGCUAAUGACAGAUAUAAAUCUAAUUUGGGAUCAAACUAACCAAAUGUGGCUGAGGUCAAGGUGGUGUCACCAUCGACGACACUGCGGCUACCGUGAUUACAGUUCUGUCCAUGCCAUCCCCAACAAGCAUCACAUUCUUCAUGUGUCCACCGAUUUCUACCUUCUCAUUGUAGACGCCGGAUUUCACAUAGAUUAUGGCCCUUGGAGGUCGUCUGUCGCCCAUUCUAGCAAGUGCAGCCACGGCAUGGUUAAUUGUUGUGUGAGUGCCUGAACCAUCUUUUGCCACCACAAAGUCAGCCCUGGAUCUUGCCGGACUCCACGAUGCUAAAAGCCCUCCAUAUGGCUUUGCAUUGGAAGUUUGUCCAUGCCGCACUUCUACAUUAUAUUAAACCAUAAAUUACAAAAACUACUAAUGCAAAAAUUAAAGUCAUGAUAAUGUAACACAACAUAUUCGUAAUGUAAGAUUUAAAUUAAUAUCACCUAUUGGCUAAAAUUUACGAUCAACGUACUACUUACUCAUUGCCUCAUCAGUAGUCAUAGUACUCUUCCCAUACAGAGCAAGAGCUUCACCAAGCACCACGGUCAAGUUUUGUGCCACCGCCCUAUACUGUUGAGCACCACUAGUAUUCUUAACAACACCCUUCUUUUCCAAGCUAUCCCAACAACUCCUAUGGUUAGCAAGCACACCGCUGAGCCAUGUCCGAGCAUCUUCUUCGGUAUAGUUACCCUCGCCGGAUAUCAACUCAGUCAGCCUCGGCACACUCUCAUCAUAUAGUCUUUCACAGUCCAUCAGAGCCACGUCACUGCCAGAAGAAUCCGAUUCAGAGCUUGCCAACACAUGUAGCCGGUCCAUAGAGGUACGGACCACAUUGGUGGCUUGAAGAACGCCAUCUAGGGCCAGUUGAACCGGUUUCGGAUCUUGGAAGCAGGAUGUGGAAGAAGCCAUGGUGAUGGAUAGCAGGAGGAGGAGGAACGUGGUAACAGAGGUGGACAUUUUUGGUGAGUUAAUGCUAGCUAGCUAGGGAAGAGUGGUGAAAUGCAUGAACCAGGGAGAGCUUGAAUGAAUUGCAGGAUCGAGGUGCUGUGCAUGGAUUUAUAGACAGAGUCGGGGGAAGAAAACACGUGUAUGUAGCUACUGGUAGUGUAAGCUAGCUAGCCAAGUGAGAUUGGUGUUGAGAUGGAGGUAGUAGUACUACUCUGCUGCUUUGAGUUUGAUGAGUGAGUAAUGGAAACAGUUCUUAGUUGGUGAGUGGCAAUAUUUAUGUAAAGGUAUAGACUUAUUUAGAAAUGAUGAGCCACUUCCAAAUUCAGUUAUGCAUAUAUUGUAUAUAUUGUUUCCUGAUUUUCUUUCUAGCUUUUUGCAUCUGUUCGCAGAGAUAGAGUAAAUAUGCUCUUGUUAUGAAGUAUAUAUGACUCGUGUUAGAGAUAGAAGUAAGGGACCUGAAACAAACGUGUCAGGAAAACCAUUCCAGCGGGGGUAGUGAUGAUAUUGAUUUGGCAAGUAACUGAGUAAGAGUAGUACGUACGUGCCAGUGUUCUAAACAUACAGAUACGUAUACUUUUCUAUUAAUGCAUGUUUUGUAAUUUACUGCCGAUCGAUCGAGUUUAGUUAGAGUCUCGUACGUUUAUAUAGUGCUGCCUUCUGCUGACUCCGUGGAUCGAUAUAAUACAAACAAGUUUUAAUCAUAGUGAUGAACUGAUCGGUGAUGAUCGCGAUCAGUACGUAACGCUCAUUAUCUCCCAUGCAUGUAUGUGUAUAUAUAUACAUGCAUAUACGGUUUUCCUUGGUUAAGGAGAUCCUUAUUUAUUAUUAUGUUGUGGAUUUUCACUUUAGACUCACUUUUCAAUUGAAUUUGUAUAUCUUCACCGUUUAGUCUUUAAGUACUAACGUGUAGAUCAUCUCUGUAAAUUUUCAACAAAUUUAAUAAUCGUUAAGGCACUGAUAACCAAAGGGACAUGAACCGGCACUGAUAACUAUUUGAUCAUCUCUGUACACAAUAUGCUAUCCCAUCUCACUCAUUUUCAUAAAUUGAUUUUAGAACCAUUAACUUAAUAACCAAGGAGACAUGAAUUUAAGAAUCAUUCACACACUGAUUUUUUCCUCCUUCGUUUAAGUUGUCUUCGAUUCAUGACUUUUUCACUAUGUAAAUAAUUAGUUGUUUUAAAGUCGUAACAGAAGACCAAAAAUAAUAUUAAUAUAAGAAAAUAUACUUUUCAGAUGGGUUUGUAAUCAAUAAUAUGAAGCUAGUUUGCGUAAAUGCGUUCACCCAUGACUAUUACACAGAAACAUGUACAGUUAUUUGAGAUGGGUUCCUCGUCCAAAAAAAAAAUUAGAGAUGGGUUCGAAAUCAAUAAUAUGAAGUUAUUAAUAGAAGAUGCAUCCAAGUGUCCAACCUUGACAAUCACACAAGACAAUUGGUUUAACCCUAUUUAUUUUAGCCUAGAUGAAGUUGCUCGUGUUGGUUUGAUACGCUUGAACUCAACCUAUUAAUUUUUUACUUUGUAUGUUAAUUAUGAAAAAGUUGCUCUUUAGGUUGCAUGUCAGAUAUAUAUGAUAUGCAACCUAAAAAUUCCGGUAUAUAGAUUAAGCAUAAAUCAUUAUGUUCUAAAAGGUUUAAGUCGCCACUAAGCAUAGCAACUACUCCUGUCUCGCUAAACCUAAGAAGACGUAUACACACAACUAAUAAUUGUAACUUGAGAAUCUGAGAAGUUCAAUGAUCGCUUAACACAGUCAUCAAAUGCUUGUAGCAAUAGAACUCUAACAUGCAAAAAAUUCUACAAUAUGUUAAUGCAUGUAAUGCAUCAAUUUUGUCCUAAAGUUAUAAAAUGAGUCAUCAAAAUAGUUAUAUUAGUCUUCGAAGUUGUAAUAUGAGUCCCGUUAUAAAAUUUUGAAGUUAUAACAUUAGUCAUCAUGUGUGCUUAAAAUGGUAAAAUGUGUGUUUAAAGUGGUAAUUGAGUCCUUAAAAUGAUUUUAAAGUGAUUUUAAAAAAGUUGUUACAACUUUAAGGAUUCAUUUUACAACUUUUUGGACUCAAUUACCUCUUUAAGGACACAUGAGGACAAAUGUUGUAACUAAUUUUUUUUACAACUUUAAGAACUCAUAUUACAACUUUAAGGACUGAUAUUACUACUUUAAAGACACUUUUUACAACUUGAGGAAAAAAUUGAUGCAUCACAUACAUUAACACAUCCUAGCCUUACCCCUGCCUGCACACUAAGUUGGUCACCAAAAUAAACUUGCAAAAUGCAAACACUAUUCAUUCAAAGAAUAAAUAGUAGCCGUACUAAAUUAGUAAAUUUCAUCUUAGACAAAGAAACUAGCAGACCAAAUUAAAGUCCAAUCAUCUUACAGUCCAUGUCAUGCAUGUCUUCGAUCUGCUCUGAUAAUUCACGUAAGAAUAUCAAUAAUUAAUCGUUUGCUGCUGAUGUGCGAGGCAGUAGCCAUUUCUCCCGAGAGUCACUUUCUUAUUUUAGCACAUGAACUAAUUGUAUGCUUAUACAUCAAUAUCUUGUAAGUUGAAUUUGAACAAUUACAAGUUUAUAUUUAGUACAACAACUAAUUUUACAACAGGGUAAGUAAUUAGAGAUAUUAGGCAUUUUGUAUUCCAUGUUAAAUGUAUUCAUUAUGUGAAUAUAGUAGUGGGAAGUUCUAAAGAAGACAACUGAAACAGAUAUAAGUGAUUGCAGCCAUUAUUGAGAUAUAAAGACCUUUUAUGGGAGGGCUUUGUAUUAGGAUGCUUUCACUAUAAAUACUAGGUCCCUGUACUCUCUUUGUAAUCAGCUAUUCAGUUCUUGCCCCAUAGAAAGAUAGCUAACAAAAGAGACGUGCAGAAGAUUGGUAUUUUGAGAUGGCUUCAUCAGUUUAGGUACACAUUCAGUUCUAUUCAUUGAUAUAUCGUUUCCCUAUAUUUGCAUAUAUUUGUGUGCUUGUGAGUACAAUAGAUGUGUUUAUGCAAUUAUUUGAGUGUUUCAGAUUUACGCUUUCAAUUGGUAUCAGAGCCGAUUGCAUAUUUCAUAAACCACUUCAGUUUGCUAGAUUGGGUUUUGUACGAUUUCAUUCUAAACAAAUAAAAAAAAGAAAAAAAAGGAGGUGAUUAUGUUGUUAAAACGUAAGCCUUGUUUUUUAAUUAAGACCCAAACCAAGGCUUGCUCUCAGGCCCAAGGUUCACAUUCACACACAACUAGCGCAUGCGCAAAUCAAUUAAACGACCUCAAGUCGUUGUUCUCUGUUGCCAUCUUCUUCAGUAUUCCCAGAAUUGGGAAUUAGGUUUCUAGAGAAAAAUCUUUUUGAUCAUAUGAUUCCGCAUUACUGAGACAAGUUAAUAUGAACUAUGAUUUAUAAACUCCAAUCGCUGCAUAUGUCUAUCUUGCUUUUGAUUAUUCUACAGCGCAGCAGGAACACUGGGUUAGUUCCCAAAAUUCGAAAUUUUCUUUCAUGUAUAUAUGAUUCUUGUUGGUUGAGCAAUUGAACACUAGAGGCAUUCCUAGCGUGCAUCUAAGUUAGAGUAGAUGGUGUCCAGAUGAAACUUACUUUAGUGUGGCUGAUUGAAUUCUUGAUGUUUGGAAUUGUUUGAGAUUUCUGAAUGUUCAAUUGUCUGCUCUUGAGUCAUAAUUGAGUUAUAUAUACUUACAUAUAUAUUCGUUUAUCUUGAAUUGUUGACAUUGACAAGAUGAUCUCCCAACUUUCAUAAUCUUGCUCAUUGAAAUUCGUUGAUGAACAGGUUGUUCUCUUUGUUUGGUUUUAACUUAGCUUGCUUUGUUAAAAGUUAACGAGUAAUAACCACUAGUUCUUGAUUGUAAGAUAGUAUUUUGAUGCAUGUUGUACACAUCAAUCUGUCAAUAUAUUAUUUUGGAAUCAUUUGGAUAUAGAACUAGGAAAAUUGUGUCUUUAAUUUUUGGAACAAAAUUGUAUCUUCAACAGAAGGAUUGACUCUUGUGCUCUUAAAGGUAAAACAGUGCAUCAUGAAAUAUUAAAAACUGAAUUCAGUGAACUGGACCUUUUCUUCUUGCUAUACAUGUGUUGACUGUUCCAAGGAUAUCUUGGUUUUUAGUAUUUUGGUUUUGCAAAUAAGAAACUUAAGCAAUAACCUAUUCUUUUGCCAUACAGGUAAGAUCUGUUAUUGAAAACUAAUAUGCAUAUUUUGGGGAUUAUGAUUACCAUAUUUUAUGUUAUGAUCUCGAGUUGUUUUUUGCUGUGACUUGAUUUCUUUUGUGUUCAUAGUUUUCUGAAAUUGUUUAGACUCUAACUAAGGCAGAAAACUAAAACUUUAUUUUUUAUUUUCCUCCCCAGUUCUGAACAAGGAAGAAAAUUUCGGUGAUUAGGGAAAUUUCGACCCUCCAAAAUAUGGAAAUUUCGACGGAAAUUUCGGGGAAAUAUCGAUUGCAGUAAAAAAAAUGAGAAAAUUGACAGAAAUUUGAAGAAAAACAAGGAAAUGUUAAACCAAACUUUAAGAGAUGUUUGUUUUCUAUAUUAUGUACUAUAUUUGAAAUGAAAACCUUGAAUAAACAUUGAUCUAUAGGGAAUUGUGGUAAGUUAAGGUGAAAAUGUUAGUGCUGAACUGUUAAUAAUUCUUACAAGUUUACUUUAAACAUCUUUUUUCUUUUUUUUUUUAUGGCUGGAAACCUAAAGGAAGGCUAGGUCAUCACGCCUUAUAUACAUAUGAUACAUUUCACAUGGAAUUACAUGAGUACUUUAAAACCACGUAGAAGACCUAUGAGGUACAAAAUUUUCACUAUCUGUAUCGUCUCUCUGUGCAGAGCCUUUAGUGUAUUGUGAAGAAUAGUCAUUAAAUGAUACCUCACAUUUGUAGUUUUGCAUGUAUUGAUUUACAUGCCAACCAUAUGGGCCAAGGGGGGCUGACUGUGGAUUUCCAUACUGGAAGUUAUAAUAGGGAUUGGGCAUCGCUUGACCUUGGCCAUAACCAUAAUUAUUAGAAGAUUGUCCUUCCGACUGUGACCAUGAGUUAUCACUUGAUUGCACCCCAUAAGGCAUGGUAUAUGCUGGAUAAGGCAUUGCCAGAUUUUGGCUGUAUGGGUAUGGUCCAUCAUUGCUUCCUCUCACACCAAAUGAGUCAAUAGAGGGAGAUAAAGAAUCAUUUUCAUGCCUUGACAUGCUUCCUUGGCCUCUUUCUCUUGGUGUAUAAUUUUUUCCUAUAGCACCAAUGCCGGGUCCUGCUCUCCUACUUCCAUGAUCUCCAUCUUGUGUUGCAUGUGUGAAUUGCGUUUCACAAGUGAAUGGACUCAUCUGAUCAACUUGAUUUCCACUGUAACCUUGAACUCCGUGAUCACCUCCACUAUCAUCACCUCUGAUGCUUGAUGAGCCUCCUGAUCUGGUGCUACUAGAGCUCUCAUUUAUCAUGGAAGGAACAUGUGAGUCACGAGACCCUCCACGAGAGGAAAUUAAAAUAUUAGCUCGACCCACUAAUGCAUCGAUAGUUUCUCUAUCAGGCCCUAUAACCUCUUCUUGAAUUACUUGUUCAACAUUUAUUCCUUGCGCACGUGCUUCACGAGCAACUGUAGGAGAUGGAUUCCGUUCCUCGUCAUCUAGAUGAAGCGGCCUUAUCCAUUCAUAAAGUUGAUCUCUUUCUUCAUCAUCAUCAAACUCGGUACCAAUAUCAAAGACAUCCAAUGGAUCUUUUUGGUCCACAUGAGAAUGAGCUGCUUCUCUAUCUCGAAGUUUAAGUUUCAUGUUGUAAUAGCAAAAAACCAAUUUCUCUAGGCGAUUAUAUCCCAACUUGUUUCUCUGCUUAGUAUGGAUUAGUGCAAAUGUGCUCCAGUUCCUCUCACACGCAGAUGCUGACGCCGUUUGUGAUAAUAUUUUGAUAGCUAACUUUCUCACAGUUGGGGCACUACUCCCAUACAUUACCCACCAGUCGGCUAUCAAAAAAAAGAAAAAAAAUACAUAAGUUAGUCUCAAUAGAGUAAUUACGUGGACUCAUAUGAAAAACUUAAACUUAUAAUAUACUUACUAGGAGACAUCUCUGUUCUCGAUGCAAUGGCUGCUGGUGUUCCAAAAUUUAACCUUGCGUCUUUAAAAUAUGUAAGCUAAAAUAUUUCGCAUAUAAUAUAAAAAUAAUUAGCAUUUAUUAGCAUAAUUAAAAAUAAAUAAGUUGCAAACAAGAGGUGUUAAAAAAUAACCUCUUUUCCAAAUUGUCUUAUUGUUGGACAGUUAGGAUCCAAUUUUGCAAAAACAUUAUGCACAGCUUCAAGAAGCUUAUAAUUAUCUCCGACACCUGGUUUAUAGUUGUAUCGAGGAUUUAAGUAAUACCCUACAUUAAAUAUAUACAACAAUUAGUAAAAGUGUAAAACUGUAAAAUACGUCUACAUCUAAUCAUUAAAGAUUUUAAAAAACAGGUUUAGCAUAUACCUGCCGAAUGCAAAUCAUGUCAUAAAGUUUUAAACCACCGAUCAUUGAUAAUUUUUACCACCCACUUUGCACCAUGUUUUUAUUCCAACUCUUGUUUCACUACGCGCAUCAGCUCAUAAACGACACCCAUGGUUGGAUAUACUUCUGUGUCUACGAUUCGUAAUACUUUAUAAAGGGGCUCAGAUAUUUGACAAACCUGUUCCACCUGAGUCCAAAAUUGUUGAUCAAGUACAAUAUUUUCAACGACGCGUCCAUGUUCUGUGCGGCUGAAACUGCUGCCUUCCCACCAUUCACUUGUAAAUAAAUGUUUCAACCCCGCCUUCUUCUUCAUCAAGCUUUCUAAGGAAAUGAAGUUUGUUGCGAAUCGAGUUGGUGCAGCCCGAAUAAUUUCUCCUUUGCAAAACUCCCGCAUCUUGGUCAACAACAAAUUAUGAUUGUAAACGUACUUUGAAAUAAUUUUACCUUUAUCAAUCACCUUAGAAAUUUGCUCUUUCUUUCCCAUUUCUUCGAACAUGAGAUCGAUGCAGUGAGCUGCACAAGAAGUCCAAUAAACAUUAUGGUUUUUCAUUAACUUCUUACCAGCUUUGACAUAAUUAGCAGCAUUGUCAGUCACCACUUGAACCAUAUUGCGCUCUCCAACCUCCUUUAUAACUCCCUUCAACAAUUUGUAUAUAUACUCAUGCUCUUUCUUCUCACUAGAAGAAUCAACAGACCUGAGAAAAACAGUGGUACCUUUGGAGUAGACCAUGAAAUUUAUGAUGGACAAUCUAGUUGGCCCUGUCCAUCCAUCGCACAUGAUCGUGCAUCCAUAGGUCUCCCAUGUUGCCUUGAGUGUGUCAACAUAUUCAGAAAUGUCUUUGAAUUCCAUUUCCAAAUACUUGUUUCUUAUCUCAUAAGGUGUAGGGGGCAAUACUCCUUGUCCUGCUCUGUGGAUUCCAAUCACCAUAUUUUCAAAAUGAGGAGAUGCUACUUUCGCAGCAGGGACAUUAUCAUAAAUAAAAAACUUACUGAUGAAACGACCCAUCAUCUCCUUAAUUGAACCUUUAGAGAAGGAAUCUUUGAUAUUCUUUUGACGGGCUUGAAAAGAACUUUUAAGAUUUGCUGCUAAUGGUUGUGUUGGUUGUGACUCUCUAACACUUGUUGCUCGUCGCAUGUGUGUGCCGCUACUAGACCCAUCUCGGUUAGGAAUUUUGUGGAGGUGCUCUCUAUUCCAUUGUGCUUCUUUAGAGUCACGAAUUGCUUGUCGAUAAUGUCUGAGUUCCUCAGGGCCCAUUUCCUCAUCGGGGUACACUUCAUCAUCACUAUUAUCUUGUGAGUCAAUUAAUUCUCCACGAAGCUCUGCUCGAACCUCUUCCAUCACAUGUGUUUUUUUUGUCUUUUCUUUUUGCUUACUCAUCAAUAAGGAUCUGAUAAAAUUCUUCACUUCUAUUGGAACAGCCUCACACCGUUGCACAUUGUUUCCAGGAUCCAUGCCGCUGAGGUGGUAUUUAAGGCGUGUCACUCCACCACUUUUCAUCGUAAUCCGACAAUAUUUACAUAUGCUACCGUUUUUGUUGCCGGGGAUUCGUUCACCGUGCUCCCAUGCAGGAUCACGUCUACUUCCUCCACUAGUCAUUAUAUUUCCUUAACAAAGACUCCUGCACAAAACUUAGUUAAUUAGAGAUUUAGAACUCCAAACCAUAUAUAUUAUAUAUGCACCGUAUGUUAAAUGGGAAAGAAAUAAGUAAUAACUCACCAAAAUAUAGGAGCAUGGGAACAAUGUAUGUUAAAUGGGAAAGAAACGGGAAGAUGAAGAGAACAAAUGAAAAAUGAAGUAAUGGAUCAUCAAAGGUGGAAAAAAAGGAUUGCAUUUCAGAUGUUUUGUAGGAAUUUUUGUUGAAAGGUAGUUAUAAAUGAAUUAAGAAGUGUAGGUUAGAUAGUUAUAAAUGAAUUUUUUUUGAAAGGUAGAUAUAUUAAAAAUGAAUUAAGAAGUGUAGGUAAAAAUGUUUUUUUUAUGGAAGUGUAGGUAAAAAAGUUAGAUGGAGAUUUGACAUUUACCUAAUUUUUUACUUUUCAGAUUCGGAAAAAAACCAAUAUGUAUUAUAAAGAUAGUAUAAUAAANNNNNNNNNNNNNNNNNNNNNNNNNNNNNNNNNNNNNNNNNNNNNNNNNNNNNNNNNNNNNNNNNNNNNNNNNNNNNNNNNNNNNNNNNNNNNNNNNNNNNNNNNNNNNNNNNNNNNNNNNNNNNNNNNNNNNNNNNNNNNNNNNNNNNNNNNNNNNNNNNNNNNNNNNNNNNNNNNNNNNNNNNNNNNNNNNNNNNNNNNNNNNNNNNNNNNNNNNNNNNNNNNNNNNNNNNNNNNNNNNNNNNNNNNNNNNNNNNNNNNCAGGAUGACUAAGCUCAUUCUUAAGCAAACCAUGACUGAUGUGGUUAGGGGAAGUAUUGCUGACAAGGAUACAACCACUGAGUUUAUGACUGCUAUUGCCUUGAAGUUCCGUGAGAAUGAGAAGGCAGAAAUUUCUCUUUUGCUGGAUCAGUUGAUGGGAGUCAAAUAUGAUUCCUCUAAGAGUGUCCGUGAGCAUAUCAUGAGGAUCAUUGACAUCACCACUAGGCUUGGAGAUCUGAAGAUCCCUCUACCCUCUGAGUUUGUAGUGCAUCAGUCCCUAAGAACCCUGCCUGCUUCUUUUGGUCAGCGUAAGACCACCUAUUUUACUCAGAAGGAUAAGUGGGAUUUGAAUGAGUUAAUAGCGAUAUGUGUGCAAGAGGACGAUAGGAUCAAGAGGGAUGGGCAGCUUGUUGUGAAUCUAGUUUCAAAGUCAAAAUGGAAGGGAAAAGGCAAAGUUGUUGAAGGAAAAACUACUGCCUCCAGUGCAACUGGUUCUGGAGAAGGUACCAGUGGGACUAAGCCUUUCAAACUUGGCCCCAAGAAAGCUGUGAUUACCAAGGGUAAGAAACCGGGAGUCUUCAAAUGUUUUUUUUGUAAAAAGGAAUGACAUAUGAAGAAGAAUUACCAGGGAUUCAAGGAUUGGAUGGCAAAGAAGGGUAAGUCACAGCUAAGUGUUUUCUCUAUUGAGGUUAAUUUAGUUGAUUUAUCUUCUAAAUCUUGGUGGCUUGAUACCGGCUCACCGAUUCAUAUUACGAAUUCAUUACAGGGCUUUCUAAGCAAGAGAGCUCCAAGGAGAAAUGAGGUGCAAGUGGCAAUUGGGAAUGGCAUAGGAGUGAGUGUGAAGGCUAUAGGCACAGUCCGUUUAGUGAUAGGGUCUGACACUUAUCUUGAUUUGAAUAAUGUUUACUAUAUUCCUUCUAUGAAAAGGAAUUUAAUUUCGGUUUCUGAGUUAGUGAAACAAGGAUGUACCUUUUUCAUCGACUCUUAUGGAAUAAAAAUCUCCCUUGAUUCCCGUUAUAUUGGCUCAGCUUGUUUGUUGAAUGAUUAUUAGUCUCUUGAAUGUUCUUAUCCUAAGGAAGUGUUGUUGAUUGAGAAUGCACAGAAAGAUAUAAGUAGAAAGAGAAAACACAGUGAGAAUUCAGCUUAUCUUUGGCAUCGAAGACUUGCACACAUAUCUAAAGAAAUGUUGCAGAGAAUGGUGAAAGAAAACUUGCUGCCAGAACUAGACUUUUCUGAUUUUGAUACUUGCAUUGAAUGUGUUAAGGGAAAAAUGACCAAGUCUAGAAACAAGGAUUCCAAUAGGAUUCCAAUAGAAGCACUGAACCUUUGCAACUUAUCCACACAUAUAUUUGUGGACCUUUUGCACACCAGACUAUAUGUGGUAAUAAGUAUUUUAUUACCUUCAUAGAUGAUUACACCUGGUAUUGUACCUUGUUUCUCAUCUCAGAAAAAUCUCAGAGCUUGGAAAAAUUUAAAAUUUUUAAAGCUAAAGCUGAAAAAGAGUUGGGAAAACAAGUUAAGGCAGUGAGGUCGGAUAGAGGAGGGGAGUCUUAUGGUAGGUAUACUAAAACCGGGCAGCAUAAGAGUCAUUUUGCUUUGUACCUGAAAGAGCAUGGGAUUCAAGCUCAGUAUACAACUCUAGGUUCACCUGAAUCAAAUGGGGUGUCGGAGAGGAAAAAUAGAACUCUUCUCAACAUGGUGAGGAGUAUGAUGUGCACCUCAGGUUUGCCAAGAUUCCUAUGGGGGGAGGCUCUUAAAACAGCAAAUUACAUUACAAAUAGGACUCCGAGCAAAGAUGUGGCUAAAACUUCUUUUGAGUUAUGGAAAAACAGAAAACCAAGUGUGAAUCAUGUGCAUGUUUGGGGCUGCAAGGCGGAAGCUCGUCCAUACAAUCCUAAAGAAGGGAAAUUAGAUCCAAAGACAAUCUCAGCCCAUUUUAUCGGGUAUCCAGAAAAUUCCAGAGGCUAUAGAUUCUACUGCCCUACCCAUUCCACGAGAAUAAUUGAGACCAACAAGGCUGUUUUCCUUGAUGAGAUCAAUUAUACUCACACAUAUGAGGACCUUGAGCUCGAUUUCCAAGAGUUAACUGAAGAUGAGCCUCAAAGCAUGGUUGUUCCCAUAAAUUUUGAGGCUGCAGCUGGAAAUGUUGGACAACCUCAGCUUGAAGUUGUUGCAGCAAAUCAAAACGCUGACUCUGAAAAUUCAGAAGAUGAUCUGGAAGAAGUAGAGCAAGAACCUGAGCCCCAAAACUUGCAAGAUGUGCAAGUUGAUGCCGGAGCGCCUCCACAGCAACUUAGAAGGUCUGGGAGAGUUAGAAAGCCUGCCAUUAACACACAGGAGUACAUUGUGUACUUGCAAGAAGCUGAAUUUGAUUGGGGAGAAGAAGAUGAUCUUGUAACUUUUAGUCAAGCUGUUGAAAGUGAUCAAAGCUUGAAAUGGACAGAAGCAAUGGAAGCAGAGCUUAAGUCCAUGUAUGAUAACAAUGUAUGGGAGUUGGUGGAGCCUACUGGGAGUCAUAAAUCGAUUGGUUGUAAGUGGGUUUUCAAAACCAAAAGGUGUGCUGAUGGAUCAGUGGAGAGAUUUAAAGCUAGACUAGUGGCAAAGGGGUUCACUCAGCAAGAAGGAAUAGAUUAUAAUGAAACAUUUUCACCAGUGUCUACCAAAGAUGCUUUCCAAAUCAUAAUGGCUCUAGUAGCUCAUUAUGAUAUGGAAUUACAUCAAAUGGAUGUUAAGACGACAUUCCUCAAUGGAGAUUUGGAGGAGGAGAUUUAUAUGAAACAACCGGAAUGUUUCAUAGAGGCUGGAAAGGAACAUUUGGUGUGUAGAUUGAAUAAAUCCAUUUAUGGAUUGAAACAGGCAUCCCGCCAGUGGUACUUAAAGUUUGAUGCGGUAGUUACCUCUUUUGGCUUUGUUGAAAAUCUUGUUGAUGAAUGUGUAUACAUGAAAGUCAAUGGCAGAAAUUGUAUUUUUCUGGUGUUAUACGUUGAUGAUAUUCUGCUGGCAAGCACUGAUAAAGGGUUAUUGCAGCAGACAAAGAGUUUUCUUUCUGAAAAUUUUGACAUGAAGGAUCUGGGAGAUGCUUCAUAUGUUUUGGGGAUUGAGAUCAACAGGGAUAGAUCUAGACAUCUUCUAGGUUUGUCUCAACAGGCCUACAUUUCAAAAGUGUUGAAGAGGUUUGAAAUGCACAAUUGUUCACCUGGAUCAGCACCUAUGUCUAAGGGUGACAGGUUGAACAAAAAUCAGUGUCCCAAGAAUGAGUUAGAGAAGCAACACAUGAAGAACAAACCUUAUUCCAGGUUGGUGGGAAGCUUAAUGUAUGCACAAGUGUGCACUAGGCCGGAUUUAGCUUAUGCAGUGGAUAUGUUGGAGAGAUUUCAAUCGAAUCCAGGACAUGAGCACUGGAUUGCUGGAAAGAAAGUGCUGAGAUAUCUUCAGAAAAUCAAGGGUUAUAGUUUGGUGUAUAAAAGAGUCAAGAAUCUUGAAGUAGAAGGUUAUUCUAAUGCUGAUUUUGCUGGAAAGUUUCCAUUUUCAUCAAAAUCGACAUCAGGCUAUGUUUUUAUGUUAGUCGGGGGUGCUAUAGCUUGGAAGAGUGUAAAACAAACCCAGAUUGCAACCUCUACUAUGAUGACAGAGUUGAUUGCUGUUUAUGAGGCUACAUGUCAAGGAUUAUGGCUGAAAAAUUUUCUCACACCAACCAAGAUGGUUGAUAGCAUCAUUUCAAGGCCUUUGAAGAUUCAUUGUGACAACUCUGCAACAGUUUAUUUUGCAAAGAAAAACAAGAGGUCUACCAACUCCAAGCACAUUGACUUGAAGUAUUAUAGUGUCCGAGAGAGAGUAAAGCGUAGUGAGUUGAUUCUUGCUAAAGUUAAUACCUUGAACCAAUUAGCAGAUCCUUUCACUAAGCCAUUAACCAUUACAGCUUUUCAAAAGCAUACUGAGAACUUAGGCAUUUUGCCUAAUCUAGAUGACCGAGUUUAGUGGGAGUUUGAUUGCUAGGUUCAGUGGGAGUUAGUGUUCAUUCAUUAAAGCUGGAAAUUUUGUUUCAUUUAAGUUUCAGAAUUUUUCUUUUUGGUUAUAUUUUGAGAUCUCAUUGAGCUAUGAAUUUUACGAACUGAUUUACAAUAAAAUUCAUCUUUUACUGGAUUGAAAUUGUUUAUCUUUUAUUAUUCAAGUACUUGAUUUAAAUUAUUUAUUUGAUUCUUAUAAAUAAUUGUUUCAUAGUAGUAUACAUUUCAGUCUAUGAGUUGUUUUUGAAUCAUUUUAUUUUCAUUCCAGACUUGAUCUGGAUAACACAUUCAGAAUAGUUGCAGGCGCAGCUAUGUGUUGAGGUUCAGGCAUAUGGAACCAUUAAGAGGACCAUAUACAGGUGUUUUUGGAAGGUUGUUAAACCUGCAUUGUAUAUAUUAAGUGAUAUCUUAUGUCUCAUGUAGCUCAUGGUUGUGAUGUUUUGUAAUUGUAAAGUAGCUGUGCUUUCAAGUGCAACCUUUUCUGCAGUUCUUCAUCAUGAUUAUGGAUUGACAGAGAUAUGAUUAGAAACUUGAAUGCUUUUAUCUCAGGUGCACACUUUGGAUUAAUUAAUUACUAUGUCUGAAGCUACAUUAUUCUUGUUGUAUAAACCUGUAAAUGUUCAAGUGGGAGAUUGUAAGUUGAAUUUGAACAAUUACAAGUUUAUAUUUAGUACAACAACUAAUGUUACAACAGAGUUAGUAAUUAGAGAUAUUAGGCAUUUUGUAUUCCAUGUUAAAUGUAUUCAUUAUGUGAAUAUAAUAGUGGGAAGUUCUAAAGAAGACAACUGAAACAGAUAUAAGUGAUUGCAGCCAUUAUUGAGAUAUAAAGACCUUUUAUGGGAGGGCUUUGUAUUAGGAUGCUUUCACUAUAAAUACUAGGUCCAUGUACUCUUUUUGUAAUCAGUUAUUCAGUUCUUGCCCCAUAGAAAAAUAGCUAACAAAAGAGACGUGCAGAAGAUUGGUAUUUUGAGAUGGCUUCAUCAGUUUCAUCAGGUACACAUUCAGUUCUAUUCAUUAAUAUAUUGUUUCCCUAUAUUUGCAUAUAUUUGUGUGCUUGUGAGUGCAAUAGAUGUGUUUAUGUUUGUAUGCAAUUAUUUGAGUGUUUCAUAUUUACGCUUUCAUAUCUUUCUAAUUACUUUGAUGAUUCCCGAAACCCCCCCCCCCUUUUGCAUUCCACCAUUUUUGUGUCAAUCCAUAAUCCCUACCUGAUUACUUACAACUAGAACAGCUAUCGUGUAUACUACUAGGAUUCACUAUUAGUAGUAUUCACUAUUUGUAGAUAUAUACACAGACACACGUGUAUAUAUCUGGUGAUCGAAACUAACACUUUUAUAAAGUGGAAUCAACAAUAUAAAAUCCACAUGAUAAACAAACAAGUAUUCGAAGUUCAAUUCUUCGAGUUUAAAUAUACAACAGAUGCACAAACAGCAUGAAAAGUGAACAUGAUUUAUCAUGCAGCUUGAUAAAUGGGAUAUAAAGCGCGCACCACCUCUACAUGCAGCAAAUGUUUAUAGAAAAAUAGAGGAAAAAAAACAGUUGGAAAAUUAUAUAUCAAAAUAUAAAAAAAAUGCAUGAAGCAGAAUGAAACUGCCCAUAUAUGUGUGACAAAAUCACAUGUCACGCAAAGAACAAAUCGAACGGCUUUUAUAUGACAUUAAGAGUCCUUGAGUUCUAGAAUGACAUAUCACAAGUGCAUGAAGACUAUAAUUAAUAUCAAAAGAAAAAGGUAGGAUGGAUCAAGACUUAUUAGAUAUUUUAUGUUUAAAGUCUAAUUAGGUUUAUGAUCUAUCUACAUAUGUGAAUGAAGAUAACCUUGAUGACAAGAAUAUAAGCAACUCGAUCUAAGUCUAAGACACUGUUUGUAUGAAACAUUUCUGAUUUUGAUAGUUUUAGAAGUCAAAGUCAACAAAUUCACAGAAAGCAGCUUCAUCGAGCACUGCAUUCACAGAAAGCAACUUCAUCUUUAACUUCCUAAGCAAUCCAUAGCUGACUCUCUGUUUGGAGAUGAAGUCAACUACUUGACGAGAGGCAAGUCUGUCAAACAAAACAGAGAGAAAUGAAGAGAGAAAAGCUCCAGAGCCAUGGUUUAUCGGUCAUACAGGAAACAGGAAGAUCACAGGGGAAGAAGAACGGAAGUGAUCAGAAGAAAAGUGAAACAAACAAGAAUUUGAGUUGUUAACUUGUGAUUGUUAUUCUUGGAAAAUGAGGUUCAAGCUGGAUUAAAUAGUAUGUUCUUCUUUAUUCAUAAGCACAUGUCCAUGAUUACAAUAUUCCUAUGUUCAAACUUACAGCAACAUACGCUAUCGAUUCUUGUCUUAAUCAAACUACUAAUGAACUCUAAAUCCUGAUAACCUAAACUCGAAAAGCACAACUCGCUAUAAUUCUAAUAAUCCAUUAUUAGCACAAAGAAUGAAAUCAUCGCGCAACUCGCUAUCGGUUCAAAGUGACUGUUUCAGCGUCAUUGUACUAUAUAUUGAUGCACAUUCUAGUUUAUAUUAUUGUACUAAUUCUUAAAAAUUCGCUAGUGCAUGCAGAUAAAAGAGAGUUGUACUACCCAUGGGGUUUGGUCCAGUAGAAAAUAUGCUGGGUCUGCUUGUUGGGCGAAUGUUACAGUGGCACUCCUGGUAAUAGGAGGUCACUGGUUUGAUCCUCCUCAUAGGGCUGGGCAUAUUCGGAUCGGGUCGGUUUAAGGCCCAAACCGGAUCCAAUCCGAAUUAUUCGGAUUCUUAUAAUCUCCAUCCGGAUCCCGAUUUUUUUCACUCCAUCCGAAAAUUCGGCCUAACCGAAAUUCGGAUCGGGCCGAAUCGGUUUCGGAUUUGGGCCGAAUUUGAACCAUUCAGUAAAACAGUAACAUUUUGUAUUUCACAAAAACCUUGCAACUUAAAACAGUUUCAAACACUCAUAGAGAAAUACUGAGUUUCAUAGUCAUACUUCAAGGAGUUCAAGCUUAUCACAAUCAUAAACUCAUUACAAACUGGAUCCACGGUAAUGAGUUGUAUGCACCAUUAAUGAGUUGACACAUAUAUAAAAAAUAAUAAUUAAAUAUUAAUAUUCGGGUCGGUUUAAUCAGGCGGUUUAGGGGGUUGAACCGGAUCCAAACCGGUUUAAACCGGUUUGAGUCAUUUUUCCAACAGUUUUUCCGGUUCGGUUAAUCGGCCCGCUUUUUCGGGCGGUUUUUUCGGUUGAACCCGGUUAUAUUCGAUUUUCGCCCAGCCCUACCUCCACAAGUGAAAAACACCUCAUGGGGAGAGGCCAUAUAUACCCAUGUUGCUCCCGGCCUCGAAGUGGUAGUCCCACCCGACCACCAUUUUUUGUAACUAAAAGAGAGUUGUACUAGCUAAUGACAGAUAUAAAUCUAAUUUGGGAUCAAACUAACCAAAUGUGGCUGAGGUCAAGGUGGUGUCACCGUCGACGACACUGCGGCUACCGAUGAUUACAGUUCUGUCCAUGCCAUCCCCAACAAGCAUCACAUUCUUCAUGUGUCCACCGAUUUCUACCUUCUCAUUGUAGACGCCGGAUUUCACAUAGAUUAUGGCUCUUGGAGGUCGUUUGUCGCCCAUUCUUGCAAGUGCAGCCACGGCAUGGUUAAUUGUUGUGUGAGUGCCUGAACCAUCUUUUGCCACCACAAAGUCAGCCCUGGAUCUUGCCGGAUUCCACGAUGCUAGAAGCCCUCCAUUUGGCUUUGCAUUGGAGUUUUGUCUAUGCAGCACUUCUACAUUAUAUUAAACCAUAAAUUGCAAAAACUACUAAUGCAAAAAUUAAAGUCAUGAUAAUGUAACACAAAAU